UACGGGGGGAGCAAGCGUUGUUCGGAUUUACUGGGCGUAAAGGGCGCGUAGGCGGCGCAACAAGUCACUUGUGAAAUCUCCGGGCUUAACUCGGAACGGUCAAGUGAUACUGUUGUGCUAGAGUGCGGAAGGGGCAACUGGAAUUCUCGGUGUAGCGGUGAAAUGCGUAGAUAUCAAGUGGAACACCGGUGGCGAAGGCGGCCUUCUGGACAGUGACUGACGCUGAGACGCGAAAGCGUGGGGAGCGAACGGG
rnacentral:rRNA from 1 species